GCAGUCGAACGGUAACAGGAAAUAGCUUGCUAUUUUGCUGACGAGUGGCGCACGGGUGCGUAACGCGUAUACAAUCUACCUUUUGCUGAGGGAUAGCCCAGAGAAAUUUGGAUUAAUACCUCAUGGUAUUAUUGAUAGGCAUCUAUUAAUAAUUAAAGGUUACGGCAAAAGAUGAGUAUGCGUCCCAUUAGCUAGUUGGUGAAGUAACGGCUCACCAAGGCAACGAUGGGUAGGGGUCCUGAGAGGGAGAUCCCCCACACUGGUACUGAGACACGGACCAGACUCCUACGGGAGGCAGCAGUGAGGAAUAUUGGACAAUGGGCGAGAGCCUGAUCCAGCCAUGCCGCGUGCAGGAAGACUGCCCUAUGGGUUGUAAACUGCUUUUAUACAGGAAGAAUAAGCCUUACGUGUAAGGUGAUGACGGUACUGUAAGAAUAAGGACCGGCUAACUCCGUGCCAGCAGCCGCGGUAAUACGGAGGGUCCGAGCGUUAUCCGGAAUUAUUGGGUUUAAAGGGUCCGUAGGCGGAUGAUUAAGUCAGGGGUGAAAGUUUGCAGCUCAACUGUAAAAUUGCCUUUGAUACUGGUCAUCUUGA
rnacentral:rRNA from 1 species